AGAUAUUUAUAUUAUUAAUAGGAAAGUCAUAAAUAUAUAAAUUAUAUUAUAUAAUUAAUAUAAUAAUAAAAUAAAUUAUAUAUUUUAUUUAUAAUAUUAUUUCUUUAUAAGAUAAAUAUUAUCUAAUUAAUAAUUAGAUUGAAUAAUAUUUAUAAAGAAAUAUAUAUAUAUAUAAAAAGUCAUUAUAUAAAUUUAAUUAUAAUUUAAAUAAAUUUUAUAUAAAUUAAUAUAAUAUUAAUAAAGUAAUUAGUAUAAAUAAAUAAUAUGAAAAUAAAACUUAAUAAAUAUAUAAAUAUAGUCCGGCCCGCCCCGCGGGGCGGACCCCGCAGGAGUCCAUAUAUAUAUAUUAAUAAAAAAAAAGUAAUAUAUAUAUAUAUAUUGGAAUAGUUAUAUUAUUAUACAGAAAUAUGCUUAAUUAUAAUAUAAUAUCCA
rnacentral:RNase_MRP_RNA from 1 species